rnacentral:Y_RNA from 13 species
GGCCGGUCCGAUGGUAGUGGGUUAUCGUUGAUAUUUGCUUACAGAGUCAGUUACAGAUUUCCUUGUUCUCUCUUCCCCCCUUCUCACUGCUUCACUUGACUGGUCCUUU